rnacentral:rRNA from 1 species
CCUACGGGAGGCAGCAGUGGGGAAUUGUUCGCAAUGGGCGCAAGCCUGACGACGCAACGCCGCGUGGAGGAUGAAGACCUUCGGGUCGUAAACUCCUUUCGAUCGGGACGAAUGUUUUCCGGGUGAACAAUCCGGAAAAGUGACGGUACCGAGAGAAGAAGCCCCGGCUAACUCUGUGCCAGCAGCCGCGGUAAUACAGGGGGGGCAAGCGUUGUUCGGAAUUACUGGGCGUAAAGGGCUUGUAGGUGGCCAACUAAGUCAGACGUGAAAUCCCUCAGCUUAACUGGGGAACUGCGUCUGAUACUGGAUGGCUUGAGUUUGGGAGAGGGAUGCGGAAUUCCAGGUGUAGCGGUGAAAUGCGUAGAUAUCUGGAGGAACACCGGUGGCGAAGGCGGCAUCCUGGACCAACACUGACACUGAGGAGCGAAAGCCAGGGGAGCAAACGGGAUUAGAUACCCCGGUAGUCCUGGCCCUAAACGAUGAAUGCUGUGUGGCGGUAGUCGAUCCUCGCGUCGCGACGACUACGCAUAAGACAUCCGUCCGUCGGGAGGUACGGUCGCGAGGACGUGAACGUACGAAGAAGUAGUACGACGCGAGAGACGCGACGACGACGACGACGGAGGAGGAG